AAACAAAGCCCAUUGAAAAUUCCACGAAACCUGGACCGUUUCCGACAGUAAAACCGAUUGUCUGUAUCCAUUUAUUGAAUUCUUGAAAACCCUCCACAAACUAAACAGGGGAAAAGGACAAAAAAAUCUUUGAAUCUUAUUGAUGGAAUUUGGAGAAAAUUUUUUCAAGUGGGGUUUGAAGAUUGAGGAAUUUGUAGGUAAAAUUUUA
rnacentral:misc_RNA from 1 species